CGAGAGGGGGCAAGCGUUGUUCGGAAUUACUGGGCGUAAAGGGCGCGUAGGCGGCCUUCUAAGUCGAACGUGAAAUCCCUGGGCUCAACCCAGGAACUGCGUCCGAUACUGGAAGGCUUGAAUCCGGGAGAGGGAUGCGGAAUUCCAGGUGUAGCGGUGAAAUGCGUAGAUAUCUGGAGGAACACCGGUGGCGAAGGCGGCAUCCUGGACCGGUAUUGACGCUGAGGCGCGAAAGCCAGGGGAGCAAACGGGAUUAGAUACCCCGGUAGUCCUGGCCCUAAACGAUGAAAUGCUUGGUGUGGCGGGUAUCGGAUCCCUGCCGUGCCGAAGCUAACGCAUUAAGCAUUCCGCCUGGGGAGUACGGUCGCAAGGACUG
rnacentral:rRNA from 1 species